rnacentral:rRNA from 1 species
AGAGUUUGAUCCUGGCUCAGAACAAACGCUGGCGGCGUGCCUAACACAUGCAAGUCGUACGAGAAAGUCCGCUUCGGUGGAUGAGUAAAGUGGCGCACGGGUGAGUAACGCGUGGACAAUCUACCCUUUAGUCUGGAAUAACUUAUCGAAAGGUGAACUAAUACCGGAUAAUAUCCCGAUUUCUUCGGCGAUCGGGAUCAAAGAAGGCCUCUGCUUGCAAGCUUUCACUGAAGGAUGAGUCCGCGUACCAUUAGCUAGUUGGCAGGGUAAUGGCCUACCAAGGUUAUGAUGGUUAGCUGGUCUGAGAGGAUGAUCAGCCACACUGGAACUGAAACACGGUCCAGACUCCUACGGGAGGCAGCAGUGAGGAAUAUUGCGCAAUGGGGGCAACCCUGACGCAGCAACGCCGCGUGAGUGAGGAAGGUUUUCGGAUUGUAAAGCUCUGUCGAGCGGAAAGAAGUGCAUGGUGGUUAAUAUCCAUCAUGCUUGACGGUACCGCUAAAGGAAGCACCGGCUAACUCCGUGCCAGCAGCCGCGGUAAUACGGGGGGUGCAAGCGUUGUUCGGAAUCAUUGGGCGUAAAGCGCGUGUAGGCGGCUGGACAAGUCAGAUGUGAAAGCCCUGGGCUUAACCCAGGAAGUGCAUUUGAAACUGUUCAGCUAGAGUAAGGGAGAGGAAAGUGGAAUUCCUGGUGUAGAGGUGAAAUUCGUAGAUAUCGGAGGAACACCGGUGGCGAAAGCGACUUUCUGGCCCUAUACUGACGCUGAGACGCGAAAGCGUGGGUAGCAAACAGGAUUAGAUACCCUGGUAGUCCACGCUGUAAACGAUGUUCACUAGGUGUUGGGGGUAUUGACCCUUCCAGUGCCGCAGCUAACGCAUUAAGUGAACCGCCUGGGGAAUACGUCGCAAGAUUAAAACUCAAAGAAUUGACG